CCUACGGGUGGCAGCAGUCGAGAAUCAUUCACAAUGGGGGAAACCCUGAUGGUGCGACGCCGCGUGGGGGAAUGAAGGUCUUCGGAUUGUAAACCUCUGUUAUGUGGGAGCAAAUUAAAAAGAUAGUACCACAAGAGGAAUAGACGGCUAACUCUGUGCCAGCAGCCGCGGUAAUACAGAGGUCUUAAGCGUUGUUCGGAAGCACUGGGCGUAAAGCGUGCGUAGGCUGUGUCGUAAGUCGUGUGUGAAAGGCGCGGGCUCAACCCGCGGACGGCACAUGAUACUGCGAGACUAGAGUAGUGGAGGGGGAACCGGAAUUCUCGGUGUAGCAGUGAAAUGCGUAGAUAUCGAGAGGAACACUCGUGGCGAAGGCGGGUUCCUGGACAUUAACUGACGCUGAGGCACGAAGGCCAGGGGAGCGAAAGGGAUUAGAUACCCGUGUAGUC
rnacentral:rRNA from 1 species